GACGAACGCUGGCGGCGUGCUUAACACAUGCAAGUCGAACGGAAAGGCCCUGCUUUCAGGGUGCUCGUGUGGCGAGCGGGUGAGUAACACGUGGGUGAUCUGCCCCUUUCUUUGGGUUAAGCCUGGGAAACUGGGUGUAAUACUUGAUAGGAACAUUCUGUAGGCGGUUUGGUGGAAAGAGUAGUUUCGUUGUGGGAUGAGCUCUCGGCCUAUCCGCUUGUUGGUGGGUAAUUGGCCUACCAAGGCGUCGACGGGUCGCCGGCCUCAGAGGGUGGACGGCACCAUCGGGACUGCGACAGGACGCAGCAGCCUACGGGAGGCAGCAGAGGGGAAAAUCGCGCAAUGGGCGCACGCCUGAUGCAGCGACGCCGCGUGGGGGGUGACGGCCUUCGGGUUGUAAACUCCUUACAGCCAUGACGAAGCCCUUGUCGUGACGGUAGUGGUAGAAGAAGCACCGGCUAACUACGUG
rnacentral:rRNA from 1 species